UAUGGACACUUUGGAUCGAGUUGUAAAGCCCAAGACAAAAAGAGCCAAAAGAUUCCUUGAGAAGAGAGAACCAAAACUCAAUGAAAAUAUUAAAAAUGCCAUGCUGAUUAAAGGAGGAAAUGCAAAUGCAACAGUGAUACAAGUACUGAGAGAUGUGUAUGCCCUGAAAAAACCAUAUGGUGUUCUUUAUAAAAAGAAAAAUAUUACAAGACCAUUUGAGGAUCAGACAUCUCUGGAAUUCUUUUCAAAGAAGUCGGAUUGUUCUUUAUUCAUGUUUGGUUGCCAUAAUAAGAAGCAGCCAAAUAAUCUAGUAAUAGGUCGUAUGUAUGACUAUCAUGUGCUGGAUGUGAUCGAAUUAGAGGACCCACAGUAUCAAAUAUCCACCUGGCUGGAUUAGAGUACGUUCUGCACUUCACUGCACUGAAUGGGAAGAUUUACUUUCGAAGCUAUAAGUUGCUGUUGAAGAAAUCUGGUUGUAGAACACUCCAGAUCAAAUUGGAAGAAAUGGGACCCUCACUGGAUCUAGUUUUGAGAAGGACACACCUAGCAUCAGAUGACCUUUAUAAAUUAUCUAUGAAAAUGCCAAAAGCUUUCAAGCCAAAGAAGAAGAAAAAUAUCUCCCAUGACACUUUUGGUACAACUUAUGGAACGAUUCAUAUGCAGAAGCAAGACCUAAGCAAACUACAAACCAGGAAAAUGAAGGGGUUGCAGAAGCGACCUGCAGAAAGGAUAACAGAAGAUCAGGAGAAAAAAUCAAAGAGAGUUAAAAAAAUUGAUGGAGCUUAG